ACUCAAAGGAAUUGACGGGGGCCCGCACAAGCGGUGGAGCAUGUGGUUCAAUUCGACGCAACGCGAAGAACCUUACCUAGGCAAGACGCUAGAGGCAAUCGGUAGAAAUACCGAGUUUCCCUUCGGGGAACUUCUAGACAGGUGCUGCAUGGCUGUCGUCAGCUCGUGUCGUGAGAUGUUAGGUUAAGUCCUGCAACGAGCGCAACCCCUGUCUCCUGUUACCAUCAUUAAGUUGGGUACUCUGGAGAGACCGCCGGUGUUAAACCGGAGGAAGGUGGGGAUGACGUCAAGUCCUCAUGGCCUUUGAUGCCUAGGGCCACACACGUGCUACAAUGGCCGUUACAAAGAGUCGCGAAACCGCGAGGUGGAGCAAAUCUCAAAAAGGCGGCCUCAGUUCAGAUUGGAGUCUGCAACUCGACUCCAUGAAGUUGGAAUCGCUAGUAAUCGCGGAUCAGAACGCCGCGGUGAAUACGUUCCCGGGCCUUGUACACACCGCCCGU
rnacentral:rRNA from 1 species